UACGGGGGGGGGGCAAGCGUUGUUCGGAAUUACUGGGCGUAAAGGGUUUGUAGGUGGCCCGCUAAGUCACACGUGAAAUCCCUCAGCUUAACUGGGGAACUGCGUGUGAGACUGGCAGGCUCGAGGGCAGGAGAGGAACGCGGAAUUCCAGGUGUAGCGGUGAAAUGCGUAGAUAUCUGGAGGAACACCGGUGGCGAAGGCGGCGUUCUGGACUGUCUCUGACACUGAAGAACGAAAGCCAGGGGAGCAAACGGG
rnacentral:rRNA from 1 species